rnacentral:piRNA from 1 species
UGCUACUACUGUUACAUGCUUUAGCUCAUGU